rnacentral:rRNA from 1 species
AGUGAACGCUGGCGGUAGGCCUAACACAUGCAAGUCGAACGGCAGCACAGUAAGAGCUUGCUCUUACGGGUGGCGAGUGGCGGACGGGUGAGGAAUACAUCGGAAUCUACUUUUUCGUGGGGGAUAACGUAGGGAAACUUACGCUAAUACCUCAUACGACCUACGGGUGAAAGCAGGGGAUCUUCGGACCUUGCGCGAUUGAAUGAGCCGAUGUCGGAUUAGCUAGUUGGCGGGGUAAAGGCCCACCAAGGCGACGAUCCGUAGCUGGUCUGAGAGGAUGAUCAGCCACACUGGAACUGAGACACGGUCCAGACUCCUAUGGGAGGCAGCAGUGGGGAAUAUUGGACAAUGGGCGCAAGCCUGAUCCAGCCAUACCGCGUGGGUGAAGAAGGCCUUCGGGUUGUAAAGCCCUUUUGUUGGGAAAGAAAAGCAGCAGGUUAAUACCCCGCUGUUCUGACGGUACCCAAAGAAUAAGCACCGGCUAACUUCGUG